rnacentral:rRNA from 1 species
CCUACGGGGGGCUGCAGUGGGGAAUAUUGGACAAUGGGGGGAACCCUGAUCCAGCCAUGCCGCGUGUGUGAAGAAGGCCCUCGGGUUGUAAAGCACUUUCAGUGAGGAAGAACGCCUGGUGGUUAAUACCCAUCAGGAAAGACAUCACUCACAGAAGAAGCACCGGCUAACUCCGUGCCAGCAGCCGCGGUAAUACGGAGGGUGCGAGCGUUAAUCGGAAUUACUGGGCGUAAAGCGCGCGUAGGUGGCUUGAUAAGCCGGUUGUGAAAGCCCCGGGCUCAACCCGGGAACGGCAUCCGGAACUGUCAAGCUAGAGUGCAGGAGAGGAAGGUAGAAUUCCCGGUGUAGCGGUGAAAUGCGUAGAGAUCGGGAGGAAUACCAGUGGCGAAGGCGGCCUUCUGGACUGACACUGACACUGAGGUGCGAAAGCGUGGGUAGCAAACAGGAUUAGAUACCCUGGUAGUC